UUUCAACACGUCUGUCAUGACAUACGUAGUCGGAGGAUUCUUCGUUUCCUGAUUGGCUAAAGUCCAACUGAAGACAUGCCCAUCUUAGUUUCAUUUCAAAUCAGUUGAUUGAGAAGUUGCAAUUAAACUCCUCAUUCAAUUUUUUUUUUCUAUUUGAAGGAUUGGUACAGCUGUUUGGUCGCAAGACAAUUGCUACAAAACUCUCUUAUCUGCUAUCCUCCUGGCAAAGUGUUUCAUCAGUCAGUUAUGGGAAAGCUCAGAGCAUGUCAGCCGUCAGCUACCCGGGAUUGGACCAGUCUUGUCAUCUCACUUGGUUGCAGCACGGAAAGUCACUCUUAAGGACAUUCUCGAUUCCAAUCCCAGAGACCUAGAAAAGGUUUUGAACCGUCUUCCUCCCUUCGGGAACAAUCUCAUUGACUCUGUCAAAGUUUUGCCCCAGUUUGAGCUUGAGAUCCAAAUGUCUGACACCACAGGGAGAUUUUAGUGAAAGUCAGAAUUAGUAAUUACGCCAAUGUUUUGAAGUCUGAAAAUCUUCAAGAAAUGUUCUAUCUCCUAGUCGGGAACUCAAAUAAUACCAUCAUUCACAAAUCAAAAUUCUCUUUGGACAGCCUAAUGAGAAGAGGUGGCUUUUAUGAGAUCAAUUUGUGUGUCCUGGAAGGUCCAUCUCAAACCAUUUAUGCCAAUUUGCUGAGUAAAAAUUGGGUUGGUCUUGAUGUCAAUAAAACCUUGGGUGAUAAUAGAUCAAUCUCACCUGAAUCAGAGUCUGCUGCUAUUUUUGAACCCAAGACAAAACCAAAGAGUUCAGAAAAACUGACUGGAUUGAAAAGAAAAAACAUGUCCAGAGCAGCUCUUGCAAUAAAAAAGUUGCUCAGGCGGCCAAAUCAAACUGUCCAACACCAGCGGUAUGUUUAAUUUCUUGGAUUAAUUUAUCUUCUCAUCAUCAUUGAUGCAGUAGAAUUGGAUUGCAUUUUGCAAUAAGGAACCAGGAGCAUUCCAAUGUUGCUAGAGUUGUGCAACUUACAUUCUUUGCAAAAAAUUACUGAAAUCGUGCACAAAGUUAAAUUUACAAAGGUAAUUUUCGUCUUAAAUUCGUCGUUAAUUGGGAGUAAAGAUAAAACUUGUUCAGAUGAUCAGUUUAUAUUUGCAAGGUAAAAAAAGUUGCACAAUGUUGAGGACAUUGGAAUACUCUUGGUUCCUUUUUGCAAAAUGCAAUCCAAUUUUGCAGUAGAAAAUUGCAGUUUCAAUUUUCCGUGCAAGUUUUUAGCAUGAAACUGCUGAGAACUGAAAAAAGUGUAACGUUUCCAAAAAAAGUGGACUUCACUCUAUGAAGCCCAUUUCUCAUGUCUCUCUAAUGAUUGAUGAGAUUUAAUAUUCAUCCAUCGUCAUGUAUAUUGGGCGUGCCAACUAAACAUGUUUCAUAGGAAUGGUGGGAAAUCUUUCAACCAAAUUAAAAAAUUAAAGCAAGAAGCAGAAAAUUCGAUCUUCCGAACCACAAAAGUCUGUGGAUUUAGCUGACAAACAAAAGAGUAUCGAUUGUAUCAAAAUAUGUUGAUCUCUGUGGGACAUACAAUGGAAGAUGUUUUUUUAAAGGAAUUUUCCCGAGAAAAGUGA
rnacentral:lncRNA from 1 species